ACUGCUGAGGAGUCCCACAAUAGGACGAAACAGCUGUCCAGGAU
rnacentral:hammerhead_ribozyme from 1 species